rnacentral:rRNA from 1 species
GGAAUAUUGCGCAAUGGGCGAAAGCCUGACGCAGCGACGCCGCGUGAGGGAUGAAUGCCUUCGGGUUGUAAACCUCUUUCAGCAGGGACGAAGCGAGAGUGACGGUACCUGCAGAAGAAGCACCGGCCAACUACGUGCCAGCAGCCGCGGUAAUACGUAGGGUGCAAGCGUUGUCCGGAAUUAUUGGGCGUAAAGAGCUCGUAGGCGGUCUGUCGCGUCGGCUGUGAAAACUCGGGGCUCAACCCCGAGCCUGCAGUCGAUACGGGCAGACUAGAGUGCUGUAGGGGAGACUGGAAUUCCUGGUGUAGCGGUGAAAUGCGCAGAUAUCAGGAGGAACACCGGUGGCGAAGGCGGGUCUCUGGGCAGUAACUGACGCUGAGGAGCGAAAGCGUGGGGAGCAAACAGGAUUAGAUACCCUGGUAGUCCACGCCGUAAACGGUGGGUGCUAGGUGUGAGCGGUAUUCCACGCCGUUCGUGCCGCAGCUAACGCAUUAAGCACCCCGCCUGGGGAGUACGGCCGCAAGGCUAAAACUCAAGGGAAUUGACGGGGGCCCGCACAAGCAGCGGAGCAUGUGGCUUAAUUCGACGCAACGCGAAGAACCUUACCAA